AUUGAACGCUGGCGGCAUGCCUUACACAUGCAAGUCGAACGGCAGCACGGGGCAACCUGGUGGCGAGUGGCGAACGGGUGAGUAAUGUAUCGGAACGUACCAUUGAGUGGGGGAUAACGUAGCGAAAGUUACGCUAAUACCGCAUAUUCUCUCCGGAGGAAAGCAGGGGACCGCAAGGCCUUGCGCUCUUUGAGCGGCCGAUAUCAGAUUAGCUAGUUGGUGAGGUAAAGGCUCACCAAGGCGACGAUCUGUAGCGGGUCUGAGAGGAUGAUCCGCCACACUGGAACUGAGACACGGUCCAGACUCCUACGGGAGGCAGCAGUGGGGAAUUUUGGACAAUGGGCGCAAGCCUGAUCCAGCCAUGCCGCGUGAGUGAAGAAGGCCUUCGGGUUGUAAAGCUCUUUCGGCCGGGAAAAAAUCGCAUGGGCUAAUACCCUGUGUGGAUGAUGGUACCGGAAUAAGAAGCACCGGCUAACUACGUGCCAGCCGCCGCUGUAA
rnacentral:rRNA from 1 species